rnacentral:rRNA from 1 species
UCAGAUUGAACGCUGGCGGCAUGCUUACACAUGCAAGUCGAGCGGCAGCGCGGGGGCAACCCUGGCGGCGAGCGGCGGACGGGUGAGUAAUGCAUCGGAACGUAUCCCGUAGUGGGGACAACCCAGCGAAAGCUGGGCUAAUACCGCAUAUGCUCUACGGAGGAAAGCAGGGGACUCGCAAGAGCCUUGUGCUAUGGGAGCGGCCGAUGUCCGAUUAGCUAGUUGUGGGGUAAAGGCUUACCAAGGCGACGAUCGGUAGCUGGUCUGAGAGGAUGAUCAGCCACACUGGGACUGAGACACGGCCCAGACUCCUACGGGAGGCAGCAGUGGGGAAUUUUGGACAAUGGGGGCAACCCUGAUCCAGCCAUGCCGCGUGCGGGAAGAAGGCCUUCGGGUUGUAAACCGCUUUUGGUCGGGAAGAAAAGGUUCUCCCUAAUACGGAGGACUGUUGACGGUACCGGCAGAAUAAGCACCGGCUAACUACGUG